rnacentral:rRNA from 1 species
GACAGAGGGGGCAAGCGUUGCUCGGAAUUACUGGGCGUAAAGGGCGCGUAGGCGGGAUGGUAAGUCGGUCGUGAAAUCCCUCGGCUCAACCGAGGAACGUCGAUCGAUACUACCGUUCUUGAGGAUUGCAGAGGAGACUGGAAUUCUCGGUGUAGCGGUGAAAUGUGUAGAGAUCGGGAGGAACACCGGUGGCGAAGGCGGGUCUCUGGGCAAUUCCUGACGCUGAGGCGCGAAAGCGUGGGGAGCAAACGGG